GGUCUGAGAGGAUGAUCAGCCACAUCGGGACUGAGACACGGCCCGAACUCCUACGGGAGGCAGCAGUGGGGAAUAUUGGACAAUGGGGGCAACCCUGAUCCAGCCAUGCCGCGUGUGUGAAGAAGGCUUUCGGGUUGUAAAGCACUUUCAGUGAGGAGGAAAACUCUGCGACUAAUACUCGUAGGGCUUGACGUUACUCACAGAAGAAGCACCGGCUAACUCCGUGCCAG
rnacentral:rRNA from 1 species